rnacentral:rRNA from 1 species
GACGAACGCUGGCGGCGUGCUUAACACAUGCAAGUCGAACGGAAAGGCCCUGCUUUUGUGGGGUGCUCGAGUGGCGAACGGGUGAGUAACACGUGAGUAACCUGCCCUUGACUUUGGGAUAACUUCAGUAAACUGGGGCUAAUACCGGAUAGGAGCUCCUGCUGCAUGUUGGGGGUUGUAAAGUUUCGGCGGUUGGGGAUGGACUCGCGGCUUUUCAGCUUGUUGGUGGGGUAGUGGCUUACCAAGGCUUUGACGGGUAGCCGGCCUGAGAGGGUGACCGGCCACAGUGGGACUGAGAAAGGGCCCAGACUGCUACGGGAGGAAGCAGUGGGGAAUAUUGCACAAUGGGCGGAAGCCUGAUGCAGCAACGCCGCGUGCGGGAUGACGGCCUUCGGGUUGUAAACCGCUUUCGCCUGUGACGAAGCGUGAGUGACGGUAAUGGGUAAAGAAGCACCGGCUAACUACGUG